rnacentral:rRNA from 1 species
AACGAACGUUGGCGGCGCGCCUAACACAUGCAAGUCGCACGAGAAAGGGAGCAAUCCCCGGUACAGUGGCGCACGGGUGAGUAACACGUGGGUAAUCUUCCCUCGAGCGGGGGAUAACCUUCCGAAAGGAGGGCUAAUACCGCAUAAGACCACGGGCUCUACGGAGCUUGGGGUAAAAGCUGGCCUCUGCAUGCAAGCUAGCACUUGAGGAUGAGCCCGCGGCCCAUCAGCUAGUUGGUGGUGUAAAAGACCACCAAGGCGAAGACGGGUAGCUGGUCUGGGAGGAUGAUCAGCCACACUGGAACUGAGACACGGUCCAGACUCCUACGGGAGGCAGCAGUGGGGAAUCUUGCGCAAUGGGCGAAAGCCUGACGCAGCGACGCCGCGUGGGUGAUGAAGGCCUCCGGGUUGUAAACCGCUUUCAGUUGGGACGAAGCUUCAGUGGUUAAGAGCUGUUUGGAGUGACGGUACCUUCAGAAGAAGCGCCGGCUAACUACGUGCCAGCAGCCGCGGAAAAAC